rnacentral:rRNA from 1 species
UACGUAGGGGUCGAGCGUUGUCCGGAGCUACUGGGCGUAAAGCGUGCGCAGGUGGCUCAUUGCGCCCGGCGUGAAAGCCCCCGGCUCAACCGGGGAGGGUCGUCGGGGACGGGUGAGCUUGAGGGUAUCAGGGGCUGGUGGAACUCCCGGUGUAGUGGUGAAAUGCGUAGAGAUCGGGAAGAACACCCGUGGCGAAGGCGGCCAGCUGGGAUACACCUGACACUGAGGCACGAAGGCGUGGGGAGCGAACGGG